GGCAGGGAGAGUGCUCUCGGCGUGGUGGACCAAGAUGAAGCCCUACUACACACAGGCAUACCAGGAGGUGUGGGUCGGUGUUGGCAUUAUGACCUAUCUGUACUACAAGGUCUCCUAUGGAGGGAAGAAAGCAGUCAAAAGCAGUUCUGGACACUGAUUGGACGAUAUACCCAACUACUGGCUCCUCCUUCUGUCGGCCUCUUCAGCUCUUGGGAUGUGAUGCAACAUACUCCAUGUGCUCAGGAGACUGGCUGUCUGUAUUGCAAUGCAAUAAACUGAAGUUCCUUUUGCAGAUUU